UUACCUCUCUUUCUACUAUGGUUAAUGAAAAACCAUCUUAGUAAUUUAUUCUACCACGGUGGUUGCACCGUGGUCGAAAGUGAAAUUCUGUAAGUGGAUCUUAUUCCUGCUAGUUUCUUAAAAAAAAAAAAAUUUAGCAUUUGAAUUUUAGGGCAAAUCAUUUCAGCCACGGCCUCCUCAAUCGCCUCUAUCUCUAUUCUCGUUCUCAACUCUGAACUUGCCCUCUCUUUGUCCUUGCAACUGCAAACUACAAAAUCUACAAGAAUCAAACCCAUAUAAUUUAGUUUAUCUAUCUGUCAGCAAGAAUCAAAAUUUCAAAACCUAUUACCUAUAUCAAAACCCAUAUCAGCAUAUCAUUUCAGAUUGUUCAACAAAUCAACACCCAUAUCCUUCAGUUUCCAUCGUUCGCUGUUCCAGUUCGAGUUCGCCGUUUGCAAGCUUUAGCCGCUGGCCCGGUGUCUCUCAACUCUCAAGCCCCUCUCUUUGCAAUCAAUAUAUAUAUAUAUAUAUAUAUAUAUAUAUAUAUACUGACUGCGUACUCAAACCCUAAUAUCUCUCUUGACUACAAACAUUCCACAUAUCAGGUCCGUAUUCUGUUCCGCCUCAGCUCAACCUUUGCCCAUAAUCUUUCAUCUUUACACCCUAGCCAUAGCAUACAAUUUUAGCCGCCAUCGAAUCAGUAAUUGAUCGGAACAACGAAUUCAACGGUAAAACCAUGAUUUUCAGCGACGUACCUCUCCAUUUAGCGCAUUAGAGGGUUCUAUUCUACCCAUGGGUUCGAAACUGGUCAUUGGUUGAUUCGUUCUUCGAUUUGGGGAUUUUGUAGUUUUGGUUAUGUUACAUUUUGUAGAGGGUUUUUGCCUCUGAUUCGCACUUCUCUUCAUGGUUGCUUUUGUUCGAUCUUGGAGAUUUCGGCCAAAUCUCGUUGUAGGGAAAGCUUCGCCGACCCAAAUUCGAAUAGACAAAUGAGCAAUUACAAGUUAUUUUGGAGCUUUUGGCUAAAUCGCGUUGUAGGGUAAGCUUCGCCGGCCCAAAUUUGAAGAGACAAAGGAGCAAUUAUGAGUUACCGAUGAGUGUCUGGUUGUGAGGGAAAGGAAGAGGACAUUGUUGUUGCUCGUGGUCUCUAGGAAAAAAAGAAAAACAGAGGGGAAAGGGAGGAAGAAAAAAGGGUCUGGACUAUAGGCAUCUCAUAUCAUCAUCUUCAACUUGUCAUCUAAUUGUGUGUCUCUUCUCACCAAGAAACAAAGAUGCCAUUUAUCAAAGGAGAUCCUCUAGCUAUUCGUUGAUGCUAGAUUCAGUUGUUGACUGAGCACAAUGAACAAAAAUUAUGGUAUUAACUUUUAGCAUAGUUCUUACAUAUAUAUAUGCUAUUUUUUCCAACAUGUAAAAUUGUCAUGAGGCAUUUUUCACUCCUCACCUGUUUCCAUAUAAAAUCAUUGAAUCUGAAAAUAAUCUGUCGGUGGUGGUCCUGAUGGAGCACAAUAUCUUACCUUUUUGAAUCCCUUGACUUACUUACAUGUUUAAAGGUCGUUCUAGAUAUGAAUUAUUGCAUUAGCAUGCUAUAUAACACGUCUGCAUCUAGGACUGUCCUUUAGGGGUAAGAAUUUGUAUUUUCAAGACAUUUAUUUAUUCCUUAUUACUUAAUAACAAAAUAUUAGGAGCAUAAGAUUAUGAGUUAAAUGAACAAACUAUAACCAAGAACUGAAGCUUCCCUUCAUCUAGAACAAGUGGCAAAUUAGGAACUUGUCACCAAAUGUAGUUCAAAAACUUAAUUCUAGAACUUGUCACCAAAUGUAGGAACUUCUCACCAAAUGUAGGCUAACUUUCAGUACAUUGACAAUAUUUUCCUGAAAAAAGAUUUUUUUCUCUUGAAAAUAGUCUGAUGAAUCCUAGUCAAAAACUUAAUGGGUGAGUGGUCACUUGGAAUCCAAGUACCAGUUGUCCUUUAAUUUUAGAUUUUAUUAUUCUUCAAUAACGAUUUUGAAUGAAAUUAAUGAUCCUAACUUUUCUUGGAUUUCUUUAAAUGUUAAGUGAUAAGAGAUAUGAGAGAUAGCUAAUAUGGUCCCAAAUUGAAGAUUUUAUAAUAAAUUGCUAGAAUUACCAAUAUGCUUAGUCCAAUGCAUCAAGGCAAGGAUGGUUCAAAAAAUUCAGAGACUUAUACAUAAAAUAAGAGAGAGGAUUAUUCUCAGCCUCCCAACCCUAGCAAAAAUGCAUCUUUUAGCCCUAUCCAUGUGUAAUUAAGCAAAUGGUUUGAAGUCUCUAUUGUGCAAACAUUCUUCCAGCAUAUGAAAAUUAGCUACAGGAAUUUUCAAGGGUACUAUGGUCAUUUCAUAGUUAUAUUAUAUGAUUAUACAUAUGUUCAAAUUCUUGCAUUGCAUUGAACAACUGUGAUUUAGCCUGCAUUAUAAAAUAUACAGUCUCAGCAAUAGAAUUUGGUUGAGAAUGACAAGUGGCUAUUACAAGGGCAUUUUGGUCUUUCUGCAUGAAGUUCAGGUGUGUGACACGUUGUUGUGGUCCUAGUGAGAGAAUGCAUACACUACAUUGCAUUUCUUAAUCACCAAGUCUUGGAUAAGAAGUCUAUUACAACCUUAAUAUAGUGAGCUAUAAUUCUGGUGCACUAGAGGACUAUUUAGCUGAGUUGGUAAGGGCAUUGUGGUUAAUUCAUAUGAAAAAUGUCAGAACAUUCUCUGGCCAAUGAUUAGCUGCAUGUGUUAUGUGUCACUACAAGAAAUCAGGCUAUUAGGGACAGUUUUUUAGUGACAGACUCAAAAACUGUCACUAAAGGUCCUAUUAUUAGGGACGGUAAAUGUUACCAUUAAUAAUACCCAGCCUUUAGGGACGGUAAACUUGAUAUGUCACCAAAUCCCAUGAGACCAUCACCAAAUCCCUAAUAAUUGGCGGUGGAAAUUUUCUGGCAGUAAAAUUUAGGCGCUAUAAAUUUUUGUUAUGUUUUGGUUUGGUGAAAAGAUACACGUGGCGUCGUCAAGACCAUACACACAAGCACAAAAUGAUAUUUUAAUUUAAUUUUUUUAAUAUUUUUACCAAACAUUAAAUGGGUAUAUUAAAUUAUGUCGUUUAAUAUAGGUUUUGUAUAAUUUCAAACACUUCCAUUAUUCUCAUCUAUUUAUGUUCUUCAGAGAGUUUUAAAAUGUUAGGGCUUGGUUCCAUAGAUAACCCCACAUUCAAUUUGUCCUUCAAAGAACCCAUCAUGGUUUGACAUCGAUCUUCAAUGCACUAAUCAGGUCCUUUUUUAAUCUCAUCUUGGUUUGACUUCUUCGAUCUCAUUUAUCUAUUAUUUCAUUUCUUUGUUUGUUUAUUUUUUUAUUUUCAUUUUAUUUAUUUUUAUAUAUUUCGCUGGUUUCUUUAGAUUUAAUAACACAAAUACAUGUUUUUAGUGUUUUAAAAUUGCCAAAAACCCCAACAAUCGAAAUGAGAAAUUACAGAGAGAACUUGCCAUUUGAAUCGGGAGUAUGUCGUCUGAAUUGCUGAGGGAAAUCAAUAGCUUGAUCUCUUCGAUUACCAACUCAUUUCUGGUUGUUGCGCUCUCGCCUAAAGCAAGCAAUCGAAGACAGUACACCGGUCAUCGUUGGAACUCAGAAAAGCAACAAUAAGCCAUAGGAAAGGUUCACAUAUCAGUGGCUCAUGCCGGAAAGGUGGGAGGGCAAACUCCGAAAGUGGCCAACCAGGAUGAGAAGAAGAAGCCUCGUGGACUUUAAUUGUAAAAUCAGUCAAGACCAGUGAUUUUGAGCUUUAAAAGAUGACAUUUCGUGGGAUCGAGUAAUGUUAAAGAUCCAAGUCUAAUUAUACUUCGAAAAUAUUCCAAAAGAAGCCACAAGUUGAUUAGAAUGGAAAGAAGAAGAAAGGGAAAACUCUUUCUCCAAAAAGGAAACUUUCGCUAAAGUUGGUAACUUGAACCUAUUUUGGUAAUCUGGUUGUAUCUCUCUCCUCGAGUGUCAAAACGGCUAAAUUCCCGCAAUGGUUGAAAGGAAAUUCAAAGAGCUACAAUUUGUAUUCACAAGGAUUCCCUAAAAUAGUUGUUUACUUUGUCAAAAUUGGCCUAGAAGUCUGUACAAAUUUUGGAGUCCUUAUUUGACAGAAUUUCUAUAUAUGUCUCCUAUAUGAAAAAGGGAACUUUAGGGUUGAUCUUUUAUUAUU